GGACGCCCAAAGUGGGGCCUGGAUAGAGGAGGCUCCAUGAGGAAGAAGGUUCAGGUGGCCAGCAUUGUAUAUAGAAAUUCCUUCAAAUGCUGUGGGAGCCUGCUGUGGCUGAAACGAAAGUGAGUGAUAGAGUCUGAUUAUGGGACAAACAUUAAGCCAAAAUGAGGUCUAUGUGAAACAAUUAAAAGAGGCAUUGCCAAUAUGAGGUCCAUGUGAGACAAUUAAAAGAGACAUUAAAGUACAAGGAGUAAAGGUAAAAACCAAUGAUUUGUUUAAUUUUUUUAUUUUGUUAAGGAUCUUUGCCCUU
rfam:Rattus norvegicus chromosome 1, whole genome shotgun sequence.